rnacentral:rRNA from 1 species
CUGGUUGAUCCUGCCAGUAGUCAUAUGCUUGUCUCAAAGAUUAAGCCAUGCAUGUCUAAGUACAAGCCCCACUAAGGUGAAACCGCGAAUGGCUCAUUAAAUCACACCUAAUGUACUGGACAGUCUCAGUUACUUGGAUAACUGCGGUAAUUCUGGAGCUAAUACAUGCGUACUAGCCGCGACUCACGGAGCGGUGCUUUUAUUAGAUCAAAACCAAACGGCCUCGAGCCGUCCCCCUGGUGAUUCUGAAUAACUUUGGGCUGAUCGCACGGACUCGUUCCGGCGACGUGUCCUUCCAAGGUGUGCCCUAUCAACUGUCGACUGUGGCAUAGACGCCCACAGUGGUUUUGACGGGUAACGGGGAAUUAGGGUUCGAUUCCGGAGAGGGAGCCUGAGAAACGGCUACCACUUCUACGGAAGGCAGCAGGCACGCGAAUUACCCACUGGCCGAAGGCCGAGGUAGUGACGAAAAAUAACGAUACCGGACUCAUCCGAGGCCCGGUAAUCGGAAUGAGUACACUUUAAAUCCUUUAACGAGGAACAAUUGGAGGGCAAGUCUGG